UACAGAGGUCUCAAGCGUUGUUCGGGUUCAUUGGGCGUAAAGGGUGUGUAGGUGGCGCGCUAAGUCGGGUGUGAAAUUUCGGAGCUUAACUCCGAAACUGCAUUCGAUACUGGCGUGCUUGAGGACUGGAGAGGAGACUGGAAUUUACGGUGUAGCAGUGAAAUGCGUAGAUAUCGUAAGGAAGACCAGUGGCGAAGGCGGGUCUCUGGACAGUUCCUGACACUGAGACACGAAGGCCAGGGGAGCAAACGGG
rnacentral:rRNA from 1 species